rnacentral:rRNA from 1 species
GACGAACGCUGGCGGCGUGCCUAAUACAUGCAAGUAGAACGCACAGUUUAUACCGUAGCUUGCUACACCAUAGACUGUGAGUUGCGAACGGGUGAGUAACGCGUAGGUAACCUGCCUGGUAGCGGGGGAUAACUAUUGGAAACGAUAGCUAAUACCGCAUAAUAUUGAUUAUUGCAUGAUAAUUAAUUGAAAGGUGCAAUUGCACCACUACCAGAUGGACCUGCGUUGUAUUAGCUAGUAGGUGAGGUAACGGCUCACCUAGGCGACGAUACAUAGCCGACCUGAGAGGGUGAUCGGCCACACUGGGACUGAGACACGGCCCAGACUCCUACGGGAGGCAGCAGUAGGGAAUCUUCGGCAAUAGACGAAAGUCUGACCGAGCAACGCCGCGUGAGUGAAGAAGGUUUUCGGAUCGUAAAGCUCUGUUGUAAGAGAAGAACGGGUGUGAGAGUGGAAAGUUCACACUGUGACGGUAUCUUACCAGAAAGGGACGGCUAACUACGUG